UAAAGAAAUAAACAAUACAGCUUUUUAUAGUUUAAAUACAGGAAAUAAUUAUAAUUUUAGAAAAUAAAGCUGUCGCUAAAAAACGGAUGAAGUGCGAAAGAAUACGCUAUGCCUCACAGAAGGUGGAUGUAACAAGUUCUGAUUAUAAUGAAGAUUCUUCUUCUGACAUACAAGGGUUGUGUCGUAAAAAGAUACGUAAAACAGACACCGUAAAAAAAAAGUGGCAAUAACAAUUGCUCAGGAAGUUCUGCAAUCAUACAAAAAAAGUUCUUUUCUGAAUGAAAGGCCAAAAAUUAAUGAUAACUCUGUAACAAGUUUCGCGAAUCAACGUAACAUUCCUAAUGAUAUUUCUAAUAAUGUUCCUAAUGAUGUUCUACAUAAAGAUAUCAAUGUUGAAGACAAUGUUGAAGACAAUGUUGAAGACAAUGUUGAAG